AGAAUAAUAAUAUUUAAACUUCUAAUUUAAUAAUAAAUGAUUAAAUUCAUUUUUAUUCUU
rnacentral:tRNA from 1 species